rnacentral:tRNA from 1 species
AAAUCCGUCGAAUUUUUAAAUNCGUGAGGGUUCGAGUCCCUCUAUCCCCA